AUGCAUCUAUCAAUCAUGGUUUGACAGGACAGAAUGGGCAAGCUUGCGAAAUCCUUCUGCAUUUUUUGUUCUUCUCGCCCUUCGGCCCUGCCUUCUCAAGUUCUCAUCCCAAAUUCACCUCCCCGGCAACCUGGCCCUAACAAUUAACAACCUCCUCCCCGCUCCCGCCAUCGUCAAACAACCCCCCGUAGAUCCAUCCGGACCUGGGACUGAUUUCUUCUUUCGUCGGAAUCAGUAUCAAGCUGUUUGGUGAUAAUGGAACCAAAACAUUCGGCUGAAAUGUCCAGGCUUCUGGAGAAGCAAAAUCAAGCCCUAAUAGGAACAUACCGAGCAAUGUCCCAUGAGUUGCAUAAACUUCAGGUGGGCCCCCAGAUAGUAUGAACUUUUACGUCGAGAUUGUUGUCUGGAAGAUGAUAUGUGUAGAUAGUAAUUUGUACAGGUUGAAGAAGAAACAAUCAUGCGCAAGCUAUAUGAGCUUAUGUCUGCAGAAGGCCUUCUUCCAAAGCACAAGAAAGAAAGGCAUCAUGAGGGAGAUGUCGCAGAAUCAACUCCGGAAGGAACACAAAGGACGGGACCAUAGCAAGAUAACUUCAAAUUUGCAGUAUGAUCUGAAUUUGAUAGUAGUUCAACUGAAGAAACAAAUGGUUGCUAUCUUCUCCAUUACAGUACUCUGCCACCUCAACUCAAGUUUCCACGAAGACUGAUUAGCAGUAGAGAAAUUCGGUGUCAACUCGAGAUAUUGACAUGAUUAGUAUUUUCCGAAGUACACAAUGGAAUCUUGAAUUUGACUAA